rnacentral:rRNA from 1 species
GUGGGGAAUAUUGCGCAAUGGGGGAAACCCUGACGCAGCGACGCCGUGUGAGGGAAGAAGGCUUUCGGGUCGUAAACCUCUGUCAGAAAGGAAGAACCUCCCAUAUCCGAAUAGGGUGUGGGACUGACGGUACUUUCAAAGGAAGCACCGGCUAACUCCGUGCCAGCAGCCGCGGUAAUACGGAGGGUGCAAGCGUUAAUCGGAAUCACUGGGCGUAAAGCGCGCGUAGGCCGCUUUGUAAGUCGGACGUGAAAGCCCUCGGCUCAACCGGGGAACUGCGUUCGAUACUGCGAGGCUUGAGUCCUGGAGAGGGUGGCGGAAUUCCGGGUGUAGGAGUGAAAUCCGUAGAUAUCCGGAGGAACACCGGUGGCGAAGGCGGCCACCUGGACAGGUACUGACGCUGAGGCGCGAAAGCGUGGGGAGCAAACAGGAUUAGAAACCCCAGUAGUCC